CCGGCUUGCAGGGGAGGAAGAAGCCCGCCGCCCGCAUGAAGCCUGAGGGCAGGACGAAUGGGGUGGGGGAGUAGGGGAAGCAGAAGGUAGCCCCAGACCAGCAGGUAACCACGUGUCCCAAUGCUGCUUUUCUUUAAUAUCCAUUCGUGUCUUGAAACAUGUAGUACUUUCUCGUGCAGGGCUUUAACUUUCUUCCAGGAGCCUGACUUGGCUCUCACAAAUCGAGCCCACAUUUUCUAGGUGCUGAUCUUUUUAUCCUUGAAUGCUAAACGGCCAGUUACAGACACCUUGAUCCUGGUUUCCAGUUGCACAGGACACUCCUGCUCCUGUGACAGAGGUGAAGUUCAUGAACACGGGGCCCAGGAAAUCUGCCUAGAUGGAAAGUGACUCACUUUUGGCAGUCUUGUCUUGCAUUUCUUCACUUCCCCUUGCUCCUUGCCAGUUUUGCAUCUUUUUAUGGUCAUACAGUCCCCGCUCUUCCUGCUGAACCAAGCUCCUUCCUCAGGCAGCUCAGUGCCGGCCUCUAGUCCGGCGUAGAAGGAAGGUUUCUCAGGGCCUUAUACGAUGCCAUGAAUGCAGAUCUCUGAAGUGGCCUCACAUUCACCUUUUGGGCUGUGAUUCUGCUUUUGAAGAUGCUAUCCCAUUACAGGACUCAACUGGAUUCUCAUCAAGCUGUGGAAGUGCGGCAGGAGGAGUGCAAAGUUUGGGGAUGGCUACGACUAGUAAUCUGGAAGAGCCUGCAAAGCAUGUUAUGUACGGCAGCUGAGAAGGUCGCAAAGCUCUGCUGGAGCAGGUGUUUGAUCUUGGAUAAGCGACAUGAAAAUGAUAGAGAUGCCCUGCCUGCAUUUUAGAAGGACUAAUGAAUUCACAAGAUCUUCUGAAUUCCCAAACUCAUGAUGCUCUAAAUGAUGUUGAGAGUUGCCGCUGCACAGUUGAAACCCCUGGAAGGGAAUCCUUAAACCUCCACUUUCCCAUCAUCUGGCAGGGGGAUGUGUUAUAGUGUUAAGCAUUAAAUUGUUUGGAGACUUUUUCUCUCUAGCUGAUGAUAAAUUUACAGGCACAACUUCACUUCUAAGAAAGAAUAAUGUUCUGUUUCUUCAGAGAUGUGUGUAAAUGAG
rnacentral:lncRNA from 1 species